CAGUCGCCGCGGGAAUACAGAGGGUGCGAGCGUUAAUCGGAUUUACUGGGCGUAAAGCGUGCGUAGGCGGCUAAUUGAGUCGGAUGUGAAAUCCCCGAGCUUAACUUGGGAAUUGCAUUCGAUACUGGUUAGCUAGAGUGUGGGAGAGGAUGGUAGAAUUCCAGGUGUAGCGGUGAAAUGCGUAGAGAUCUGGAGGAAUACCGAUGGCGAAGGCAGCCAUCUGGCCUAACACUGACGCUGAGGUACGAAAGCAUGGGGAGCAAACAGGAUUAGAUACCCCAGUAGUCCCUGUCUCUUAUAA
rnacentral:rRNA from 1 species